CUGGCGGCCGAGGGGCGGCUGCGCCUCUGCUUCCGGCCCCCGGGCUACUCCCGGGAAAAAGAGCGUUGGGAGCUCCACCCCGACACCGCGGCGCUGGCGGCCAUGACAGGGGGCGGGGCCUGCGCCCCUGACCCCGCCCCCAGCUCCGAGGACGAGGGGGCGGGGUCAGACCAGGCCACGCCCCCUCCCAGCCCCGCCCCCAACCCCUUCGCGCUGCUGGGCGAGGACGAGUGCUGAGCCAAUCGGAGCGCGCGGAUUAGCAUAUCGCCGCCUACGGAAUAAAGCGUUUAUUUCUGCA